rnacentral:misc_RNA from 1 species
AUAUAACAUCAGCAUUCCAUGAUUUGGAUCAAAUGGCAGAAAGGGGAAUGAAACCUAGUGUUACUAUUUAUGACUCUAGUAUAAGUUGUCUAAGCAGGGAAAAGAGAAUGUAUGAAGCAGAAACUUUGUUUCAGAGGAUGCUUGACAGCUUUAGGCUGGUGUGGAUCUGAUGCAACCGUCUACACCACAAUGAUCAUUGGUUACUUCAGCAAGGG